rnacentral:rRNA from 1 species
CUUGCUCCUUGGGUGACGAGUGGCGGACGGGUGAGUAAUGUCUGGGAAACUGCCCGAUGGAGGGGGAUAACUACUGGAAACGGUAGCUAAUACCGCAUAACGUCGCAAGACCAAAGAGGGGGACCUUCGGGCCUCUUGCCAUCGGAUGUGCCCAGAUGGGAUUAGCUAGUAGGUGGGGUAACGGCUCACCUAGGCGACGAUCCCUAGCUGGUCUGAGAGGAUGACCAGCCACACUGGAACUGAGACACGGUCCAGACUCCUACGGGAGGCAGCAGUGGGGAAUAUUGCACAAUGGGCGCAAGCCUGAUGCAGCCAUGCCGCGUGUAUGAAGAAGGCCUUCGGGUUGUAAAGUACUUUCAGCGAGGAGGAAGGUGUUGUGGUUAAUAACCGCAGCGAUUGACGUUACUCGCAGAAGAAGCACCGGCUAACUCCGUGCCAGCAGCCGCGGUAAUACGGAGGGUGCAAGCGUUAAUCGGAAUUACUGGGCGUAAAGCGCACGCAGGCGGUCUGUCAAGUCGGAUGUGAAAUCCCCGGGCUCAACCUGGGAACUGCAUCCGAAACUGGCAGGCUAGAGUCUUGUAGAGGGGGGUAGAAUUCCAGGUGUAGCGGUGAAAUGCGUAGAGAUCUGGAGGAAUACCGGUGGCGAAGGCGGCCCCCUGGACAAAGACUGACGCUC